UACGUAGGGGGCAAGCGUUGUCCGGAAUCAUUGGGCGUAAAGCGCGCGUAGGCGGCCCGGUAAGUCCGUUGUGAAAGUCAAAGGCUCAACCUUUGAACGCCGAUGGAUACUGCCGGGCUAGAGUCCGGAAGAGGCGAGUGGAAUUCCUGGUGUAGCGGUGAAAUGCGCAGAUAUCAGGAAGAACACCUAUGGCGAAAGCAGCUCUCUGGGACGGUACUGACGGCUGAGACGCGAAAGCGUGGGGAGCGAACAGG
rnacentral:rRNA from 1 species